AGAGUUUGAUCCUGGCUCAGGAUGAACGCUGGCGGCGUGCUUAACACAUGCAAGUCGAACGGAGUUUACAUGUGAGCGGAGGGUGCUUGCAUCUAACAAUCUUUUGUAAACUUAGUGGCGGACGGGUGAGUAACGCGUGGGUAACCUGCCGUAUACAGGGGGACAACAGUUGGAAACGACUGCUAAUACCGCAUAAGCGCACAGGACCGCAUGGUCUGGUGUGAAAAACUCCGGUGGUAUACGAUGGACCCGCGUCUGAUUAGCUAGUUGGUGAGGUAAUGGCCCACCAAGGCGACGAUCAGUAGCCGGCCUGAGAGGGUGAACGGCCACAUUGGGACUGAGACACGGCCCAAACUCCUACGGGAGGCAGCAGUGGGGAAUAUUGGACAAUGGGGGAAACCCUGAUCCAGCGACGCCGCGUGAGUGAAGAAGUAUUUGCGGUAUGUAAAGCUCUAUCAGCAGGGAAGAAAAUGACGGUACCUGACUAAGAAGCUCCGGCUAAAUACGUGCCAGCAGCCGCGGU
rnacentral:rRNA from 1 species